UCUAUAAAUAGGGAAUGGGUCCACGUGACAGUUUGGCAGCUGCUCCUACCUCUCCACCCCGCCCAGCCUUCAGCUUCUGAGGCUGCGCAAGGGGAGAAAAGGGUUAGGGGGUCGAGCCCUGACUUCGCCUCCUCUUCCAAGAAGCCUUCCCAGACACUCAGCUGUAAAACCAGACGGACGUCCUCCGAUAAAAUUGUUUCUACGUAGGGCCGGCUUCACCGGCUUGGAAUCCACUUAGAAGGGUCUUCGCGCUUGGUUGAAUGUUCUGCAAUUUCUGUCUUGAAAUUUUUAGUUUUUGAGCAAGUGGCCCCUUAUUUUCACUUUGCACUAGGCCAAAUAUGUAGCCGGUCUUGCUGCUAAGAGUCUAAGAUCGAUUGCAUUCCAAAUUCUGGAAUUAUAAGACCCUGGGUGGAAGAUUCUAUGCUUUGACCAGAAGAGAGUCUAAGCAGCUUUUGUCUCCCAGGUGCUAGGAGGCUGUGUGCUCAUCAUUCUUCCAUUCCAGGGGCCUUUGUUCUACGUUGUAAGGGGCUUUGUUCUCAGCCUUCUAUGAUGCUCUAUUCUCAACGUUCUCUGGUCCUAGGAGUCUGAGCCUGACAUUCGUUUCCAAGGCUUCCUGCUGUCUCUCCAGGCUCCGCAAGCAGGGCUGGGGCACCCUCAGGCGGCCAACCUGUGUCACUACGCCGAGCCUGCCUCUACCAACUUGCAAGACCUAGCUCUAAUAUUCAUACUCAUCUCUCAGGCAGACCUUGACUCCCUAAAUGCCAAGGCCCAGAAGAUCAUACGAGAAAUUCCCUCUUUUAUGAUUCCCCGUGCAUGAAGUGACCUUCUGGUGGUGAGAUGGAGAGAAAUUGAUAGUGGCGAUAGACAGCAAAGUCUCCAGGAGCCAGACUUCCUCGGGGCUAUGUUGCCCAAACUGGACUCAAACUCCUGGACUCCAGCGAUCCUCCCACCUCAGCCUCUUAAGUAGCUGGGAAUACAGUCACCUGCCACCAUGCCCAGCUUUCAGGGAACGUGCCGCUGAGGCUGACGUACAUGAUCACGCCCACCGACCACAUGUCCAGCGAGCGGUUGUAGCCCUGGUUGAGUAGCACCUCGGGCGCCAGGUAGGCCGGCGUGCCCACCACCGAGCGGCGGAAGGACUUCUCGCCGAUGAUGCGUGCAAAGCCAAAGUCACACAGCUUCACCUGCAGAGGGCGAGGGGUGGAGGCUCUACCAGGUGAUGGAGACGCACCCGCCCCAGCAUCCCCACCACGCUACCCUCCAUGGUAUUCCAGAGAAAGCUGAAUGCUGGUUUGAAUCCCGGCUUCUGGGCUCACUAGCUGAGCAACCCUGGGCAAGUAACUUCCCCCCACUCUGUGCCUCAGUUUCCCCAUCUACAGGAAGAAGAUGAGCAGAAGAGCGCCUAUCUCAGAGGACUGCCAUGAUGGUUAGUGAGUUAAACCAUCCAAAGCCCACAGGACAAUAUUUGGCAUGCAGUUGGUGUAUAAUAAAUGCUAGCUGCUGCUAUACCUCUGCCACCUCCAA